rnacentral:rRNA from 1 species
CAGUCGCCGCGGUAAUACGUAGGUGGCAAGCGUUGUCCGGAAUUAUUGGGCGUAAAGGGCUCGCAGGCGGUUUCUUAAGUCUGAUGUGAAAGCCCCCGGCUCAACCGGGGAGGGUCAUUGGAAACUGGGAAACUUGAGUGCAGAAGAGGAGAGUGGAAUUCCACGUGUAGCGGUGAAAUGCGUAGAGAUGUGGAGGAACACCAGUGGCGAAGGCGACUCUCUGGUCUGUAACUGACGCUGAGAGACGAAAGCUAGGGGAGCAAAUGGGAUUAGAUACCCCUGUAGUCCCUGUCUCUUAUAC